rnacentral:rRNA from 1 species
GACGAACGCUGGCGGCGUGCUUAACACAUGCAAGUCGAACGGAAAGGCCCUGCUUUUGUGGGGUGCUCGAGUGGCGAACGGGUGAGUAGCACGUGAGUAACCUGCCCUUGACUUUGGGAUAACUUCAGGAAACUGGGGCUAAUACCGGAUAGGAGCUCCUGCUGCAUGGUGGGGGUUGGAAAGUUUCGGCGGUUGGGGAUGGACUCGCGGCUUAUCAGCUUGUUGGUGGGGUAGUGGCUUACCAAGGCUUUGACGGGUAGCCGGCCUGAGAGGGUGACCGGCCACAUUGGGACUGAGCUACGGCCCAGCCUCCUACGGGAGGCAGCGGUGGAGAAUAUUGCACAAUGGGCGGAAGCCUGAUGCAGCACCGCCGCGUGCGGGAUGACGGCCUUCGGGUUGUAAACCGCUUUCGCCUGUGACGAAGCGUGAGUGACGGUAAUGGGUAAAGAAGCACCGGCUAACUACGUG